rnacentral:rRNA from 1 species
AUUGAACGCUGGCGGCAGGCCUAACACAUGCAAGUCGAGCGGAGCGGCGGACGGGUGAGUAAUGACUAGGAAUCUGCCUGGUCGUGGGGGAUAACGUCCGGAAACGGGCGCUAAUCCCGCAUCCUAUCAGCUGAGCCUAGGUCGGAUUAGCUAGUUGGUGGGGUAAAGGCCUACCAAGGCGACGAUCCGUAACUGGGCUGAGAGGAUGAUCAGUCACACUGGGACUGAGACACGGUCCAGACUCCUACGGGAGGCAGCAGUGGGGAAUAUUUGGCAAUGGGCGAAAGCCUGAUCCAGCCACGCCGCGUGUGUGAAGAAGGUCUUCGGAUGGUAAAGCUCUUUAAGUUGGGAGGCGUUACCAACAGAGAAAGCACCGGCUAACUUCGUGCCAGCAGCCGCGGUAAUAC